rnacentral:pre_miRNA from 9 species
AGGACUCUUCCGGAGGGCCCCCCCCAAUCCUGUUGUGUUUGAUUCAGAGGGUUGGGUGGAGGCUUUCCUGAAGGCUCU